UGCAGUCGAACGGUAACAUUUCUAGCUUGCUAGAAGAUGACGAGUGGCGGACGGGUGAGUAAUGCUUGGGAACUUGCCUUUGCGAGGGGGAUAACAGUUGGAAACGACUGCUAAUACCGCAUAAUGUCUUCGGACCAAACGGGGCUUCGGCUCCGGCGCAAAGAGAGGCCCAAGUGAGAUUAGCUAGUUGGUAAGGUAAUAGCUUACCAAGGCGACGAUCUCUAGCUGUUCUGAGAGGAAGAUCAGCCACACUGGGACUGAGACACGGCCCAGACUCCUACGGGAGGCAGCAGUGGGGAAUAUUGCACAAUGGGGGAAACCCUGAUGCAGCCAUGCCGCGUGUGUGAAGAAGGCCUUCGGGUUGUAAAGCACUUUCAGUUGUGAGGAAAAGUUAGUAGUUAAUACCUGCUAGCCGUGACGUUAACAACAGAAGAAGCACCGGCUAACUCCGUGCCAGCAGCCGCGGUAAUACGGAGGGUGCGAGCGUUAAUCGGAAUUACUGGGCGUAAAGCGCACGCAGGCGGUUGUUAAGCUAGAUGUGAAAGCCCCGGGCUCAACCUGGGAUGGUCAUUUAGAACUGGCAGACUAGAGUCUUGGAGAGGGGAGUGGAAUUCCAGGUGUAGCGGUGAAAUGCGUAGAUAUCUGGAGGAACAUCAGUGGCGAAGGCGACUCCCUGGCCAAAGACUGACGCUCAUGUGCGAAAGUGUGGGUAGCGAACAGGAUUAGAUACCCUGGUAGUCCACACCGUAAACGCUGUCUACUAGCUGUGUGUGCCUUUAAGGCGUGCGUA
rnacentral:rRNA from 1 species